rnacentral:lncRNA from 1 species
UUCUAUUCUUCAUUGAGCUACUAAACUCAACCAGUACUGCUACUAUUUCUGAUCCCAGCAGCUAAUUAACAUUUUGUCUCCCCAUUUUACAGAUAUCUGUGGGCUGGUGUUAUCCGCUGGGAAGUGGAUGGGCUAUGAAGCCUUUGGACCCUAAGCAGAGACAGUACCUCAAUCAGUUAAGGAUGGGUGGGGCCUACAUCCCAUAGGGAUGUGAGGAAGUGGGUAGAUCUAUGUAGCUGGAAGGCCUGGGAGAAAUGUAGUCCUGUCCGCUGUGGAGUGGGGACUCAGGCCAGUCAACUGGGAGAGAGGCCGUUUGUGAGGUCUCAGGGUAGAUCUAGCGUUCAGGAUGCUGGAGAACAGGCAUUCCUGGGUCGUCGGUGUUUGCUGCAUCCUAGUGUUGGGUCUGGAGGCACUUGGUACCAGGCAGAUGCAGGGAGGACACAAGCCUGGGCUGAGAAAGGACAAGGGGCCUGAGGGUAUGGAGGAGGUGAGCUGAGGCCGUAUACAGAGCCUGGAGACUUGUGGAGCUGGAAGAGGGACAGGCAUCAGGGCUUGCACUGGCGUCUCUGAGAGAAAAGGAAGGUCAUGACUGCCCAAGUCUUGCCUGCUGAGACCUAUUGUCAGAUUUGUAGCAGGCUGGGGGUGGUGUUCCUCUUCUGUCUUUUUUUUUAGGGUCCUGGGACCUCUGGGGGGCAGGUCAGAGUCUCCGUGCAUCAUCGGAAAGUCCCUCAGCAGGAAGGAAAUGUGUGAAGUCUUCCUAGAGUCACAAAAUCCUAGCCAUGGUGUCUUAGUGGGGACAAAUUCAUAGUGAGCUUCCUCUCCUGCCGCAAACGCAGAACCUCUGUCCUGACUUCUUUGGUCAUACACGUGAGUUGUGUGCUCUUGAACUUAGUCUUAGCAAAGUCACAUGACUUUAUAAAACAUGUGAUUGUUAAUAGCUUCCUCUUUUUUCAUUAUUGAGCAAUACUCCAAGGUGUGACCAGCAAGCUGUGAAUCUAUUCACCACCCCUAGUCAUGCAGACUCCUGGUUCAUUCACCACAGUGAUCAUUCAGGAGGCUUCUCGCCCUUUCAAGACCCAUCCUGACCUGUGACCAUGCAGACUUCUGGUGUUUGGUGCUCAUGAAUUACACCUUCUGGUGGUGUCUGCAGUUCUUCUACUUCCCUUGGGUAAAUACUUAUGAGUGAACUUGCCAAGUCAAAAAGUAAGUACUUUUUGUUUCUUAUUAUUUUAUUUUAAAUGUCUCUGCAUUACUAAGGCUCCAGCCCACAUCCCUGAAUAUCAUCUACCACCGAGUUAUCCACCAGUACUCAUGUUUAUUGUUUUUAAAAAGAUUCAUUUAUUUUAUUUUAGUGUGUGUGUGUGUGUGUGUGUGUGUGUGUGUGCAUGUGUGUGUGUGCUUGCGCAUCUGAUCCUCUGAAGCUGGAGUUAACAGGAGCACCUGGUGUACUCACGGAAUCAAACUGUUAAUAUGGAAGAGCACUAGACACACUCCUAAUUACUGACCCACCUCCAGGCCCUAUGUUUGACUUUGAAAGUAAGUUUCAGGGGCUGAGGAGAUGGCUCAGUGGUUAAGAGCACUGACUGGUCUUUUGAAGGACUCAAGUUCAGUUAGGAGCACCCAUGUGGUGGUUCAGUCACCCAAGACUCCAGUUCCAGGGGAUCUGGUGCCCUCUUCUGGCCUCUCUGAGAAUCUGCAGUCAUGUGCACCUUUCCCACACAGACACACAACUUUAAAUAAUUAAAUGUAUAUACAUAUACAUAUACAUCAUAUACACAUACAUAUACCUAUACAAAUGUGUAUAUACAUAUAUAUAUAUGGGAUAUAUAAAUUAUAUAGAUACAGUCACAUCAACAAAGUGCUCUCUGGUUUGCUCUACAUCCUUGUCAACACUUAAUACUGUUGUUCUUUUUAAUUUCAGCUAUUCUAUUGGGUACGCUGGUACAUCAUUUGACUCUGAUUGGUGAUUUGCUAACGCUGCUGGUCAUUCUUUCCUAUGAUUGGGGGCAUCUCUUUAUUUCCUCUUGUGACCUGGUAUUUCCUAUUUUGGUUGCCUUUCUGACUUUGCUCUUGGUCAUGGGACAUAUUACAUACAAAGAACAAAAGCCCAAGGCUGAGAGAUGGUAAAGAGAUUGGACUAGACUCUUGGUGGGUAAAGUGCUUGCCAUGAAAACCUCGUGAGCUGAAUUUGGAUCAAUAGAACUUACGUAAAGCUGGACACAGUAAGAUACACACAUGUCAUCAAGCAUUCAUAUGGUGACAUGGGAGGCAGGCAGCAAAAAUCCCUGCAGGCUUGCAGGCCAGCUAGCCUGGCAGACACAGCUGAGAACAAGAGACUGCCUGGAACCAGGCAAAGACUCCUGAGAUUGCCUUCUGCAUGCAUACGCCUGAACUCAUACCCACUGUAUGUACAGAAGGAACGAGAGCCCUCUGUUAGAUGUGAAAACUGAAUCCUUAAAAUUGUAGCAUGCCAGUGCUUUCCCAUUCUUUCGAUAAACAAGUUUUAACUGA